AGAAACAGAAGAAGACCGAGAACAUGGCGAGUGGCUGUGGAGCAGGGGGACAUCCCUGCAGUCCUCUCCUGACAGACGAGCUCCAGAGACCGGGGCUGAUAACUCGGUAGUAGUAGUACACUGAGUACCGCGGGAAAGUUCUCUACUAGUUAGCCUACAAGCUACAGCGGGAGGUUCAGCCUGCGCUCCCGCGAGGAAUGCUGAACUGCUUCGGUCACUGUGGCGAACUCCAUGUCCAAUGACUUUUCCCACAAGAACCACUGAAGACACACAGAAAGAGGGGAGCAAAAAUGUGUGUAUGUGUAUGAGAUGAUGUGACAACUUUCCUCCGCAAGUGAACUGUGGAAAGGAGAGCUGGAAUGAGAUUUGUGCUGCGAACAGAAGAGAGGAAAGCAUAGACACCAUAGUGGAAAGGAUGUAUAUGAUAUAAGGUAUGUUAUAAUGUAAGGAAUAUCAAAGCAUUAGCGGCUGUAAUGUUUAUUUAAACAAACAAAAAUGUGAGCUGUUUUAAUAUCAUCUUGUAAAGACCUGUAAUUCAAAUGCACAUUUUAACCAGGGAAGCACCAAAAAUUUGUCUGAAAAUAAUAGAGCAAUAGAGCACACCGAACAAUGAUAUUUUUGAUGUUAAAAUGGUCAUUGUUCAAUAUUUUUUUUACUUAGGCUACAUUUAGGCUAUUUAAUUUAUGCAUUGACAAAAACAAAGGCAAAAAAAAUGGUAUUUUAUUUUCUGUCCAAAUUUUUCAUAUUGGUGCAUUUCUUAUUUUAAUCUAAACAUUACUUUUAAUGUCAUUCUCUUUGCUAAAUAAUCCUAUAUAAUUUGUAUUUAAAAUAAAUAAAGACUUCUAUGAUAUAUCA
rnacentral:lncRNA from 1 species